UCCUUCUUAGCUCAGCUGGUUAGAGCAUCUGACUGUUAAUCAGAGGGUCGCUGGUUCGAGCCCAGCAGAGGGAGC
rnacentral:tRNA from 6 species